rnacentral:rRNA from 1 species
AGGGGAGUGAAAAAGAACCUGAAACCGUGUACGUACAAGCAGUGGGAGCACGCUUAGGCGUGUGACUGCGUACCUUUUGUAUAAUGGGUCAGCGACUUAUAUUCUGUAGCAAGGUUAACCGAAUAGGGGAGCCGAAGGGAAACCGAGUCUUAACUGGGCGUUAAGUUGCAGGGUAUAGACCCGAAACCCGGUGAUCUAGCCAUGGGCAGGUUGAAGGUUGGGUAACACUAACUGGAGGACCGAACCGACUAAUGUUGAAAAAUUAGCGGAUGACUUGUGGCUGGGGGUGAAAGGCCAAUCAAACCGGGAGAUAGCUGGUUCUCCCCGAAAGCUAUUUAGGUAGCGCCUCGUGAAUUCAUCUCCGGGGGUAGAGCACUGUUUCGGCAAGGGGGUCAUCCCGACUUACCAACCCGAUGCAAACUGCGAAUACCGGAGAAUGUUAUCACGGGAGACACACGGCGGGUGCUAACGUCCGUCGUGAAGAGGGAAACAACCCAGACCGCCAGCUAAGGUCCCAAAGUCAUGGUUAAGUGGGAAACGAUGUGGGAAGGCCCAGACAGCCAGGAUGUUGGCUUAGAAGCAGCCAUCAUUUAAAGAAAGCGUAAUAGCUCACUGGUCGAGUCGGCCUGCGCGGAAGAUGUAACGGGGCUAAAC